CACAGUGUGAUGUAGUGGUUUGAGUGCUGGACUAUGACUCUGGAGGCCAGGGUUUGAAUCCCGGCUUGGCCA